GAUUAACGCUGGCGGCGUGCAUAACACAUGCCAGUCGAACGAGUGGCGGACGGGUGAGUAAUGUAUGGGGAUCUGCCCGAUAGAGGGGGAUAACUACUGGAAACGGUGGCUAAUACCGCAUACUAUCGGAUGAACCCAUAUGGGAUUAGCUGGUCGGUGGGGUAAAGGCUCACCUGGGAGACGAUCCCUAGCUGGUCUGAGUGGAUUGUCAGCCACAGUGUGACUGAGACACGGCCCAGCCUCCUACGGGAGGCAGCAGUGGGGAAUAUUGCACAAUGGGCGCAAGCCUGAGGCAGCCAUGCCGCGUGUAUGAAGAAGGCCUUAGGGUUGUAAAGUACUUUCAGCGGGGAGGCGUUACCCGCAGAAGAAGCACCGGCUAACUCCGUGACAGCAGCCGCGGUAAUUC
rnacentral:rRNA from 1 species